AUACUUACCUUGGGAGAUCACAGGAGAUCAUGAAGUCCUUGUGAUCGGGCCUGUCCAGUUUGCUUUGCACAUACCUGCUGCUGGCAGGCUCGCCAGCUCUUCCCUUCGGAGGAGUGUGGGUCUCAUAAUUUUUGAUAUACACUUACAAAGUUUCAGCUUGCUGAAUUUUGUA
rnacentral:snRNA from 17 species